GUCAAUCUAGAAACAAACUAGAGAGACACAAUGAAACAAGACUCAACCCAUUGAGGAUAUAACUCAGGGGAGUAAUUCCAUCCCAAUACAUAUUCAGGGAGGAAACUGAAACAACAAUCAUCCAUGAGGACAUAACUCAAUGGGGAAUAAUGAAGGAAAGAUAGACACUUUCUGCCUAUAGGGCUGACUCUAUAUGGAGAGAUCAGACACAAACAUCUGCUUGGGAAGAACAUUUCACCAAUAGCAGGAGAUAACAA
rnacentral:lncRNA from 1 species